rnacentral:tRNA from 1 species
CCGGCAGGCGACUAACCUGCAUCUUCAGAUUUGCAAUCUGAUAUGUAUUACACCUCAAGACUUU